GACGAACGCUGGCGGCGUGCUUAACACAUGCAAGUCGAACGAUGAAGCCUAGCUUGCUAGGUGGAUUAGUGGCGAACGGGUGAGUAAUACGUGAGUAACCUACCUUUAACUCUGGGAUAAGCCUGGGAAACUGGGUCUAAUACCGGAUACGACCAAUCUCCGCAUGGGGUGUUGGUGGAAAGCGUUAUGUAGUGGUUAUAGAUGGGCUCACGGCCUAUCAGCUUGUUGGUGAGGUAACGGCUCACCAAGGCGACGACGGGUAGCCGGCCUGAGAGGGUGACCGGCCACACUGGGACUGAGACACGGCCCAGACUCCUACGGGAGGCAGCAGUGGGGAAUAUUGCACAAUGGGCGCAAGCCUGAUGCAGCGACGCCGCGUGAGGGAUGACGGCCUUCGGGUUGUAAACCUCUGUUAGCAGGGAAGAAGAGAGAUUGACGGUACCUGCAGAGAAAGCGCCGGCUAACUACGUGCCAGCAGCCGCGGUAAUACGUAGGGCGCGAGCGUUGUCCGGAAUUAUUGGGCGUAAAGAGCUUGUAGGCGGUUUGUCGCGUCUGCUGUGAAAGGCCGGGGCUUAACUCCGUGUAUUGCAGUGGGUACGGGCAGACUAGAGUGCAGUAGGGGAGACUGGAAUUCCUGGUGUAGCGGUGGAAUGCGCAGAUAUCAGGAGGAACACCGAUGGCGAAGGCAGGUCUCUGGGCUGUAACUGACGCUGAGAAGCGAAAGCAUGGGGAGCGAACAGG
rnacentral:rRNA from 1 species